rnacentral:tRNA from 1 species
GGCGGGAUACCCGAGAGGCCAAAGGGAGCAGACUGUAAAUCUGCCGGGCUACGCCCUACGAAGGUUCGAAUCCUCCUCCCGCCA